GUAAACCCUUCUCCCUACAACACAAACACACACCCACUCCAGUUGCCGGCUCCGUGUUGCAGGUUCAGACAAUCAGAGAGGAACAACAAUGAAGGUGAGAUCAUCUGUGAAGAAGAUGUGUGAGUUCUGUAGGACGGUCAAACGUAGAGGACGUGUAUAUGUGUUAUGCUCUUCCAACCCUAAGCACAAGCAGCGGCAAGGAUUCUCCUCCAUUACUCAUGAAGGAAUCACGCCUCCUGCGUCGAUGGAGUCAAAUGCUAAGAGUGGUCUCUCAGAACUGCCGAAUCAGAACGUAUCUGCUGGUCUCGCCUCACUUCUAUCGAGGAGGCCUCAAUCAGGGGGGAUAUUCGGAUGGAGGGCGGGUCUAGCAUCCAUUCUGUUCAAACAGGGGAAUUAGCGACGGGCUACAACGCAACCGUCCGCUAUCAUUUCCGUUUGAAUUCACGAGUUUAUGUCAUUGUUGAAUCACUGUUUCUCCAGGUGAAAUCCGCCUCUCUUCUGCCGUAUUCAGUCGUAUGUUGUUCCUGUGGCUGCAUUAUUGGAUCUGUUGCUCGGAAUUCCUCUGUUUUGCAUCACCCGGUUGCUGAUAUUAGAGGGUACAGUCCUGGAUUAGGGGAUCUGUAAGAAACGUUGUCGACUUUUAAGGCUGUAAAACACCAAAUGAUCACACAGAUCAUAUGCUUUUAGUACCAAGACAUUGAAGAUCUUAAAGGGUCUUUGAGAAAACUGUUGAUGAUUUUUAUAGCUCGACGUGGAAGAUUCCUGGUGUUUGCAUGUU